rnacentral:rRNA from 1 species
UACAGAGGGUGCGAGCGUUAAUCGGAGUUACUGGGCGUAAAGGGCGCGUAGGCGGUUUAUUAAGUGAGAUGUGAAAUCCCUGGGCUUAACCUAGGAACUGCAUCUCAUACUGGUAGGCUAGAGUAUUGUAGAGGGUAGUGGAAUUUCCGGUGUAGCGGUGAAAUGCGUAGAGAUCGGAAGGAACACCAGUGGCGAAGGCGGCUACCUGGACAAAUACUGACGCUGAGGCGCGAGAGCGUGGGGAGCAAACAGG